GUUUAGAUCAGGUAGGUACAAGCAUCUAAAAUACAUAUACAACAAUAACACUCUCAACUAGCAUCAAUCUAAUCUAAGGUCUAAUGUCAAUAAUGAUAUCUACUCAUUAUCAAUCCUCUAUCCACAUGAUCAACCGUUGGCUUUGAACUAUGAAAAACAAACAAGCUACUUAAAAGUUGCAGACUUUAAAAAUAAAAAACCUCAAAACCUGUCAAGCCUCUUACAUCAUUCUUCGUAAAAGACGAAAAGUAAGCAUUGUAAAUACGUUGACGUUUUAUUUUUUAGCUAAUCACAACAAUACUACUAACGUAUCACAAGGAGAACAAACUAAAGAUAUCAUAUUCCACAGAGGAGUGUCCUCUACUUCCUGUUUCUGAUACUGACUCUGGGCUACUGUAACUGCUGUUAUCUCUACUGUCCAGACUCAGUCAGGUCCAGGUUGAUACUCUACUGUCCAGACUCAGUCAGGUCCAGGUUGGUACUCUACUCUACUGUCCAGACUCAGUCAGGUCCAGGUUGAUACUCUACUCUACUGUCCAGACUCAGUCAGGUCCAGGUUGAUACUCUACUGUAUCUGCUGUUAUCUCUACUGUCCAGACUCAGUCAGGUCCAGGUUGGUACUCUACUCUACUGUCCAGACUCAGUCAGGUCCAGG
ensembl:lncRNA